CCUACGGGUGGCAGCAGUGGGGAAUAUUGCACAAUGGGGGAAACCCUGAUGCAGCGACGUCGCGUGAGUGAUGAAGUACUUCGGUAUGUAAAGCUCUAUCAGCAGGGAAGAAAAUGACGGUACCUGACUAAGAAGCCCCGGCUAACGACGUGCCAGCAGCCGCGGUAAUACGGAGGGGGCAAGCGUUAUCCGGAUUUACUGGGUGUAAAGGGAGCGUAGACGGCGGUGCAAGCCAGAUGUGAAAGCCUGGGGCUCAACCCCGGGACUGCAUUUGGUACUGGGCGGCUUGAGUAUCGGAGAGGUAGGCGGAAUUCGUGGUGUAGCGGUGAAAUGGGUAGAUAUUAGGAGGAACACC
rnacentral:rRNA from 1 species